GGAAAGAAAAUUUUAUUCAGAGAAAAGUUUCUUAACAAGAAAGAAAUAUAACAAUAUCGAUGGCACGAGGGAGCAAGCGUCAUAAGAGUUAUAUGGAAUACAAGGAGCCUAGAAAGAAAAAGAACCCCAAAGGAAAAAGAAGGCAUGGCGGAAGUGGAAGACGAAGCCACGGCAGAGGUGGAGGUGCUUGUGUUUGCUCUUGGGUUCUGAUACCGGUUUUGCUGCUACUGCUGGCUUGGGUUUUUCAUUUGGUUUUCCUAGGAGGAGGAUACAAUAUAGGGAUGCAACUAGCUCUACCACUUACCACCCCACUCUUAGAUUUUUCCAUGAAUUCAAAAAACCCUGGAAGACGAAAGCCAAGAAACUAGGCAGCGGAGGUAGAAGUGGAAAAUUGCAUUGUAGAUCGCGAUCUUGAUGGUUGUCAUUGCAUGUGUGUUGAACUGAACUGUUACCCAGAGACUACAAUGUAGAUCGAAAACGAGUAAACUCCAAAUACCUAAUUCUGAAUACUUAUUUUUCUUGCAUGGUAUAUCGCGUUUAACAUUUCUUGUAUGUGAUGUAAUUGUCAAUAUCAAAAACUUUCCCUUGAUUAACAUUUCUGGUAUGUGAUCACUUGUCAAUAUCAACAAUUUUAUAUUGUUUUUGUCUCUGGUAUAAUACUAAUGAAUGAAUAAACGUCAGU
rnacentral:lncRNA from 1 species